AAUAUGCAAAGCCACAUACUGAUGCUACACUUAUAGGAUAAAAGCCACGAAAGAAGAAUUUGGAGUUAACCAUUUGGAAUACAACUUGCUCAUCUGGGAGAUGAUAUGUCUGCAUCAUCAAGCCCUUUGAUGGACAGCUUUUUAUCAGGUGCUUCAAAUGGUGCAUCAAAGUCUGACAGUAACAAGGUCUCCUGAAGAGCUGUGGGGAUAUAAUUUCAGAGGUCCUGUUGCUUCUAUGGCUGCUGCAGCUGGCAAGGAGUGGAGUAGCUUGGGACUGUUCCAGCUGGUGUGUGGCAACCUGGAAUACCUGCAACAAGCAAGCUGGCCCUUACCUUCUGCUUGGUAAAAUUUGAAAUAACAUUUUGCUGAUUCCUCCAUCUUCUGUCUCAAAGCCAGUUAUUUGAAUUGAUAUUUUAAUAAAAUUAUGAAGGAGAGAAAGAACACAGAGUACAGAUCAUCUGGCUGAUUUUGGUCAUCUGGCUGAUUUCAGCAUCCUGCUAAGGAAUCUUGGAAAGAUUUUGACAAGAAGGUUGUCACAUGCUCCCCCUUCAGCACUAAUUGUAUCAUCACUUUUGAAAGGUAACCUCAUGAAGUACUAAGUAUAAUUCUUUGUAUAAUUCUGAACAUAAUGGCAAUACAAAUUUUGCUGGAAAAUUAAUGCAGAUGUAAUUAAAUCACUAAAGAAAAUCUUUCUUUCUAUGUUAGUCCCAGGCAAUUUUAGAGGUACCAGCUGCCUUACAGGAGCAAAACUGGAUACUAUUCAGCAUGACUGUUUUAAUUUAUCAAUACUGAUGUAUAAAGAGUACUGUUUGUUGUGGGGAUUAGCUGUUGUCCCAUUUCACCUUGUGUUCUGAAUGAUAAAUGGUUAUGCAAGCUGCCUUCAAUAUAAUUUGUCAUACAAACUCUAUAUAAUUAUUAAGAUAAGAUAAUAUGUGACAAUAUUUAUGGAAUAAUAUCCUCCCAAUCAUUCAGCUGCUUCUAAAUGCUAAGGGCUAAUUAGAUGAUUUUUGCCUCUGAGAUCUGGUAAUCAUUUGUUGACAGAUAUUAAAUGAUUCAACUGUU